CUUAAGCAACUCCUGAAUGAGCGAUCCUGACUGGAUGGUCCCGGGGUGUCUGUCAUGCUCAAACUCCGAUAAAUAGAUCCAUACUUGAAUGAGAAAAUUAAGACCAAACAAAGUUAAAGACCUAAAACACUAUGUGAGACAAUACACUUCCUAUUGGACACAUGCAAGACAUGAUUGAGGCUAUUUUUGCAAAACUGCUUAUUUAGCCAAAAGGUGUCUCAAAGUGCAAACUUGACACUAGUGACCUCUAAGAGAUGGAAAAAUUACUUUGCAGAAAUGACCCAUUUUAUAGAAAUGGUCUAUGUGGACAAAAAUGGGUAAGCAUGCAAAUUCAACACAAUGGACCUUAGACAGAGAGAACACCUUGUUGUGGACCUAGGACUCUAAGACAUGGGUUAAUUGAACCACUUUUGCAAAAAUGACCCCAUUUUGCAAGAACGGCCGAUGCGGUUAAAAGCGGCUAGACAUGCAAAUUCGACAAGGACGGACCUUAAAGUUAAGAGACACCUAAUUGUGGAUUCAAGACCCUCCAAACAAUUAAACAAAUCACUUUGCAAAAAUAGCCAUAUUUUGCAGAAUGACCGAUGUGGCUAAAAGUGGCUAGACAUGCAAGAUUUGGCUAUGACCCCCCGAAGCCAAGAACCUAAGACUUACUAGGAAGACUGGACCCUAUGUGGGUUGCCUACGUAUCCCGUCCCGAGAGACGAGAAUCAGGUUCGCGUAGUUCGGGAAGAUUGGAUACUAGCGAGAAUUAAAAAAAAUAACUAAUUUAGAGAAAAUUAAUUUUUUGUCUUUUGUUUUGAAAAAAUGAUGAAAUAUGUAAACUAUUUUUGUAUUUUCUUUUCCUCUUUUCCUCUUUUUUAUUUUUUUAUUUUUUUGGAAAAUGAUGGGAAAGUACAAAAUCUUUUCGAAUUUUUCAUGUUUUUUUUCUUUUCUUUUUCUUAAAAAAAUGUGAAAGAAAACCAUAACUGGGCCCUACUUGCUUUAUUUUUUGCACUUCACCCUUUUUUCUCAUUUAUCCUCAAACCUCAUUGGUCCGCCAAAUGACCCCUUUUACCCUUGAAAAUUGCAACAUGUAGCACAUAGGAUGCAUCAGGAUGGUCUUUUAUUUUUUGGGUACACCUGUCCUAGACGGACCCAACCUCUGUAUUGAGUCCCCAAAGUCAAAUGCACUUGAUGAAACAAGUGUUCCUACUAGGGAUCCGGCAUGAGGCUAUGUUAUUCUAAGUUUAAAAACCUGGUGUAUUUGUUCUAGACCUGGCUUACUCGAGCGGAUAGCCCGAGCCAAGGGGGCAGCGUACCGGGAAUACAGAAGCUUCAUUGGCUUUGCAACUUGUCUGAACCUCGUUCUAAAAUUGGGAUAUGACUCUAACAAAAGAGAAGUCACACGAAGUGCACCCUUCCCAAAUGAUUUAGAAGACUUAGAGAGAGGAGAGUUUCGUAACAAUUUAUAUACAGUCCAAAUAAUAUCAAAGCGGUAAAAAGCGGCAAUUAGCACAUUAGGCUCAAAUAUAUAAAAAUUAGAUAAUAAAUAAAAGCCAACUAUAACAGUUAUUCUAAGUUCAAAUUAUUGAACCCUGAACCAGAAGUUCUGGGUUCUUAUUCCCAGUGGAGUCGCAAGAGUUGUCACACCUCAUUUUUCCUAUCCGAGGGUAUAAAAGGGAGUUUUUCCAAUUAAAGUGACAAUAAUUGAAACGGGAUUAUUUAUUCAAAAUCAGAGUAGCCACUUGGGAUAAUUUAUGGUGUCCCAAGUCAUCGGUUUAAAAUUCCGAAUCGAGGAAAAUUGACUCUAUUUACGGUUUGCGAACACAAAAAUCCGGGUAAAGAAUUUUAUUAAUCAGGGAGAAGGUGUUAGGAAUUCUCGAGUUCCGUGGUUUUAGCAUGGUCGCUCAACUAUUAAUAAUUGGCAUAAUUAUCUGAUUUAGUACAUGUUUUAAACCUACGUGCAUUUUUAACUUUCUAACGACUUUCAAUAUUUUUAGGAAAAUUCAUGAUCGUCAUACACUUACUUAUUUUUGAAAACACAUCGUAAACCAUGCUACAUGAAAUAUGUCUACAGUUCACGACAUGUUUAAUUAUUAAACAUUAUUGAAAAUUAAAGUCGGGUCCCAUGAAAUAUACACCCGAAUUUGGAAAUUAUAUAUCGCAACUAUGUCACGGGAACCGUACACGUAGCUGUGAUAAUUCAUUUACGCGCCUAGAGCAAACAGCAAAAAUUCAUAAAUUAUUUUCCUAAGACUAGUUUGAAACUAUUGUGAGGUUAUAGACUAUUGACCCAACUGUGAAAGAAUAUACAUAAUAAACAUUCAAGUGCAAUUCUUCCACCUUAUUCACAUCCACGUAAGGAACAUAUACAUUUACACAUAAGAAUUACUAAGUAUAUGUCUUCCUUCAGGAAAAUACUAGGUCCAAACAUAUAUUAAUCAUGUAAGGCCAAAAGGUAAAAUUGCAUUAAAUUCAUCAAAACCAACUGGCAUGACUAGAUACAAAAACGUAAGAGCACAUAAAAAGAAAAGGGAGGAAAUUAACCUCAAUAACUGACAGGAUCGACAAUGAAACAAAUUAAAAGAAGACUUUUGAACCAAAAGCCCAAACUCGAACCACCGAUCAGAGACCUCGAACAGAACCUCCACAAGAAGAUCCACUGGAUUUCGACGGAGUUUUGUUACUCGGCUCGACUAUCCUGACUCGAACUCUGCUUGUUUAGAUGGGUUUUCGAGAUUGUUUUUCAUGGUUAUGUUGCUGUGUUUUUCAGCAAGAAGAAAAAGCUGAAGCGUUCAAGAUCUAUCUAUGGCUGCUUCCUUGUUUGUAGAAGAAGGUCUAAAAUGGAUGUUUGUGUUCGAGCAGAAGAACGAUGUGGGGGGUCCUUUUUGUAUUGUUGCGGCUUUUUUGUAGAAGAAGGCAACCCUAAAGGUUUUCUCUUUGGUUAUAUAUCAAAAUCAGAAGAAAACGGCUGCUUUCCAAAAGUCUAAAGGUCUUUCUUUUGUGUAUUCACGACUGUGUUCCCUCUACUAUUGCUAAUGAAGUUAGGGUGUGUGUAUGAGGAAGAAGCUGUUCGUUGGGGUGGGGGGUCUUGGUGUAAAUGGCGGAUCUGAGGUCUCUAGGUUUUCUAUUAUGUCCUCAUGAAGAAGAUGACAUUUUUUUUGAUCCCAAACGGCUGAAGGCCUUCCUUUUGUUAGGGAUUGUUAGGUUAAUUUAUGUAUAUUAUGCUAAAGAGGUGUCUAGGUUUGGGCUUUUUAGUUAAUGGGCUAAGAGAUUGGCUUAAUUGGGCUAAAAGCAAGACAAAAAUUAAUCCCAAAAAAAUUAAUUCUAUUUCCUCCUCCCUUUUUGUAUGUAAAAAUAAUAUAGCAAACAAGAUAAACUAUUAAAAACACUAAUUAAUCUUACUUAAGAAAAUCACUAUUAAAA
rnacentral:lncRNA from 1 species